UUACGGUCAAAUCACGCUGAAAAACACCGGUUCUCGUUCGAUCACCGAAGUUAAGCAUCGUAGAGCCAGGUCAGUACUUAGUACUUAGAUGGGGACCGCUUGGGAACACCUGGUACUGUAAG